CAUUAUCGUACAACCGAGGUGCAAGGGCUGUCGCUGACCUCCAAAGGUUGUGCACGCCCGAGCGCUCUCACACAAUCCAUCUCACACCCCUUUGUGCAUCACCGCGAGGGUCCCAGUGGCUGUAACGGCCCCAAGGUGGGAAUGCGAGGCGAUGUUUUCCCCAACGGAGUCCCGUGCUCGUGCGCCGAGUUCAAGACUGUCCCCUCCAGAAAACUUUGGUGUCCAUCGUCCCUCACAGCGUAGGCUGUGGUCGGAUUUGGAGUAAUCGGCCCUUGUCUAGCCAGGGAAGCAAUUCCGCAGCUAGCAGGACUCACCGAGUUGGUCUUAGGAGAUCAGGGCACGUCAUCUGUCGCGCGGGUGCGCCGUGUCCCUCGUAGACCUUUAUACCUCGCGUUUUCACACAAACCUCUGAUACAGUGUAGAAUGUUAUUUUACCUUUUGCGGUCACACGCAAUCAAUACAACUUUCAACAACGGAUCUCUUGGCUCUCGCAUCGAUGAAGAACGCAGCGAAAUGCGAUACGUAAUGUGAAUUGCAGAAUUCAGUGAAUCAUCGAAUCUUUGAACGCACCUUGCGCCCCUUGGCAUUCCGAGGGGCACACCCGUUUGAGUGUCGUGAAAUCAUCACAACC
rnacentral:misc_RNA from 1 species